rnacentral:rRNA from 1 species
GGCAUAAUUAUGAUAGUACUUCCAUGAACCUUUGACAGCAAACUAUGUGCCAGCAGCUGCGGUAAUACAUAGGUCGCGAGCAUUAUUCGGAUUUAUUGGGCGUAAAGCAAGCGCAGGCGGAUGUGUAAGUUCUGUGUUAAAUGCAGCUACUCAAUAGUUGUAUGCACCGAAUACUACAUGUCUAGAUUGUGGUAGGGAGUUUCGGAAUUAAGCAUGGAGCGGUGGAAUGUGUAGAUAUGCUUAAGAACACCAGAGGCGAAGGCGGAAACUUAGGCCAUAAAUGACGCUUAGGCUUGAAAGUGUGGGGAGCAAAUGGGAUUAGAUACCCCAGUAGUCCACACCGUAAACGAUG